rnacentral:misc_RNA from 1 species
AACGCACAUUGCGCUCCCUGGUAUUCCGGGGAGCAUGCCUGUUCGAGCGUCAUUAACAACCCCUCACGCCCAGCGUGGUGUUGGGCUCGCCCUGUAGGGCCUGCCUCAAAGUCAGUGGCGGCACCGUCUGGCCCUAAGCGUAGUGAUACUCGUCGCUUCUGGGCCCUGGGCGGCAGCCUGCCAGCAACCCCCAUUUUCUAGGUUGACCUCGGAUCAGGUAGGGAUACCCGCUGAACUUAA